rnacentral:tRNA from 1 species
GAUUAGUGGUAAAACUAGCCUUCCAAGCUAG